rnacentral:lncRNA from 1 species
NNNNNNGACCCAGAUCCAAGAUCCCUGACCCGGGACCCCAGACCUGGCACCUCCCGGCCCUCGCCCCGCGCCCCGGCCCCGGCCCCGGCCCCGGCCCCGGCCCCGGCCCCGGCCCCGCCCCCCGCGGGUUUAAUUAGCGCUUGAUUGCGAGCGCGCGCGGGAGGCGCCACGCCGAGGUAAUGAGCGCGGUGAUCACAGCCCAGCCGCCGGCGCCGGGGAUGCUAAAAGGCCACUGGCGGGGUUGGAGGCUGAAAAAUUAGGGUUUUUAAUGAUAAUUUUAUGCAGAAUAAUUGUCACAGUGUGACAUAAAUGGUUAGCUCCUCGGGCGGGGCUUCCAGGCCGGGCCUUAAUUGUAUACAUUCUAAUAGG